rnacentral:rRNA from 1 species
GACGAACCGUGCGAACGUUGUUCGGAAUCACUGGGCUUAAAGGGUGCGUAGGCGGGCGAUCAAGUCAGGGGUGAAAUCCUCCAGCUUAACUGGAGAACUGCCUUUGAUACUGGUCAUCUUGAGUAAGGUAGGGGCGUGCGGAACUGAUGGUGGAGCGGUGAAAUGUGUUGAUAUCGGAAGGAACGCCGGUGGCGAAGCGAUCCGCUGGACCUCUUCUGACACUGAGGCGCGAAAGCCAGGGAGCAAACGGG